GAUGAAGAACGUAGCGAAAUGCGACAAGUAAUGUGAAUUGCAGAAUUCCGUGAAUCAUCGAGUCUUUGAACGCACAUUGCGCCCCCUGGUAUUCCGGGGGGCAUGCCUGUCCGAGCGUCAUUGCUGCCCUCAAGCACGGCUUGUGUGUUGGGCCUCCGUCCUCCUCCCGGGGGACGGGCCCGAAAGGUAGCGGCGGCACCGCGUCCGGUCCUCGAGCGUAUGGGGCUUCGUCACCCGCUCUUGUAGGCCCGGCCGGCGCUUGCCGACACAUCAAUCUUUUUUCCAGGUUGACCUCGGAUCAGGUAGGGAUACCCGCUGAACUUAAGCAUAUCAAUAAGCGGAGGA
rnacentral:misc_RNA from 1 species